CGCGUAGGCGGUCUCUUGAGUCAGAUGUGAAAGCCCUCGGCUUAACCGAGGAAGUGCAUUUGAUACUAGGAGACUUGAGUAUGGGAGAGGGAAGCGGAAUUCCUGGUGUAGCGGUGAAAUGCGUAGAUAUCAGGAGGAACACCGGUGGCGAAGGCGGCUUCCUGGACCAAUACUGACGCUGAGGCGCGAAGGCGUGGGGAGCAAACA
rnacentral:rRNA from 1 species